CAUGUUGGGGGGCACCCAUCUGCUUACAAUCUGUCUUUGGAGUGACCUUUUUUGAAACUUGACCUCAAAUCAGGUAGGACUACCCGCUGAACUUAAGCAUAUCAAUAAGCGGAGGAAAAGAAACUAACAAGGAUUCCCUUAGUAACUGCGAGUGAAGCGGGAAGAGCUCAAAUUUGAAAUCUGACGGUCUUUGACUGUCCGAGUUGUAAUCUGGAGAAGCGUUUUCUGUGCUGGACCGUGUACAAGUCUUCUGGAAUGGAGCGUCGUAGAGGGUGAGAAUCCCGUCUUUGACACGGACUGCCAGUGCAUUGCGAUACGCUCUCGAAGAGUCGAGUUGUUUGGGAAUGCAGCUCAAAAUGGGUGGUAAAUUCCAUCUAAAGCUAAAUAUUGGCGAGAGACCGAUAGCGAACAAGUACCGUGAGGGAAAGAUGAAAAGCACUUUGAAAAGAGAGUUAAACAGUACGUGAAAUUGUUGAAAGGGAAACGUUUGAAGUCAGUCAUGUCUGCUGGGACUCAGCCUUGCUCUUUGCUUGGUGUACUUCCCUGUGGAUGGGUCAGCAUCAGUUUUAACUGUUGGAGAAGGUUUGAGGGAAUGUGGCUCUCUUUGGGGAGUGUUAUAGCCCUUGUUCACAUACGACAGUUGGGACUGAGGAGGCUCAGCACACCUCUUUAUGGUCGGGGGGUUUGCCUCACGUUUGUGCUUAGGAUGCUGGCAUAAUGGCUUUAAGCGACCCGUCUUGGAAACACGGACCAA
rnacentral:rRNA from 1 species